AAGUCGUAACAAGGUUUCCGUAGGUGAACCUGCGGAAGGAUCAUUAUAGAUUUGGCUCCGGCCUUAUUCAUCCUUUAACACCAAUGUGAACCUGUCUGGCCUCCGGGCCGAUGCCAUCCAAACACUGUGUAAUGAACGUAACGUGAUUGUAACCGUAAUAAAA
rnacentral:misc_RNA from 1 species